UACUACAUCAGUGUUAUGUUAUUUUUAUGACUUCAUCUUUAUACAGUCGGGUUCGGGUUCGGCGGCCAUAGCGAAUUUCGGCGAGAUUUUACCCCAGUGAAAAAGGCUUGUAAUCUACCUUUCCUCAAACCUGGAAGAUAUGUUUUGUUCCUAACCAAUCCAUUCUCUAAGUGAAGUGAAGCCUGGCUGUUGGUCUUCCUUUGGGAAAUAUACAGUGAAAUAA